GACGAACGCUGGCGGCGUGCUUAACACAUGCAAGUCGAACGGAAAGGCCCUGCUUUUGUGGGGUGCUCGAGUGGCGAACGGGUGAGUAACACGUGAGUAACCUGCCCUCGACUUUGGGAUAACUUCAGGAAACUGGGGUUAAUACCGGAUAGGAGCUCCUGCUGCAUGGUGGGGGUUGGAAAGUUUCGGCGGUUGGGGAUGGACUCGCGGCUUAUCAGCUUGUUGGUGGGGUAGUGGCUUACCAAGGCUUUGACGGGUAGCCGGCCUGAGAGGGUGACCGGCCACAUUGGGACUGAGAUACGGCCCAGACUCCUACGGGAGGCAGCAGUGGGGAAUAUUGCACAAUGGGCGGAAGCCUGAUGCAGCAACGCCGCGUGCGGGAUGACGGCCUUCGGGUUGUAAACCGCUUUCGCCUGUGACGAAGCGUGAGUGACGGUAAUGGGUAAAGAAGCACCGGCUAACUACGUG
rnacentral:rRNA from 1 species